rnacentral:lncRNA from 1 species
UUAUUUCUGUAAGAUGCUAGCUUUUAACAAUAGUACUACUCUUUAACAACAGUGUUGAUUAAAGUAGCAAGCAAACUAGUAAGAACAACUUUCUGAUUUGAUAAAAAGAUUUGAAAUAUUGAGCUUUAUUAAUUUUCUUAUGCUCAAUGAUCUGUAUCUGCUAUAAAGAGUUUUGGAGUUCAGUUCUGGUUGUUAUAUGCUAGAGCUGCACUUUACAGUGAUGUUGCUUCCUUAGGCUGUUUCUCACAUUUGCUUUCCUAGAUUUUGGCUAUCUAAUUGUUUCCUUUUCGAGUUUAGUUUUUUUUUUUUGGUGAAAUUUCGAGUUUAGUUUUGAUUGUUGUAUACUGGAGCUGGAUCUAACAUGGAAAUUACUUCCUCUGGUUGUUUCUGGAUUUUGCUUUCCCUAGAUUUUGGCUAUCUAAUUGUUUCCUUUUCAAGUUUAGUUUUUUUUUUUGGUGAAAUUUCGAGUUUAGUUUUGAUUGUUGUAUGCUGGAGCUGGAUCUAACAUGGAAAUUACUUCCUCUGGUUGUUUCUGGAUUUUGCUUUCCCUAGAUUUUGGCUCAUAUAAUUGUUUCUUUCCAUCAAUGAUCUCUAGUUGGUAUAAAGAUUUCUCAAGUUCAGUUUUAAGUAUUAUAUGCUGAAGCUAGAGACUUAACAUGGAAAUUACUGCUUCGGGUUGUUUCUGGAUUUUUCUUUCUCUGGAAUUUGGCUCAUCAAAUUGUUUGUUGUAUCCCUCGAUAUUCCACUUGUAUCAAAGAUUUAUUCCCAUAUUGGUUUCAUAUACUUAUGUCCUUAAUAUUGCAGUUGCUGACCUCGU